rnacentral:rRNA from 1 species
ACUCCUACGGGAGGCAGCAGUGGGGAAUAUUGGACAAUGGGGGAAACCCUGAUCCAGCCAUGCCGCGUGUGUGAAGAAGGCCUUCGGGUUGUAAAGCACUUUCAGUGGGGAGGAAAGGUUGUUGGUUAAUACCUAACAGCUGUGACGUUACCCACAGAAGAAGCACCGGCUAACUCCGUGCCAGCAGCCGCGGUAAUACGGAGGGUGCAAGCGUUAAUCGGAAUUACUGGGCGUAAAGCGUGCGCAGGCGGCCCGAUAAGUCCGCUGUAAAAGUCAACGGCUCAACUGUUGAAUGCCGGUGGAUACUGUCGGGCUAGAGUCCGGAAGAGGCAAGUGGAAUUCCUGGUGUAGCGGUGGAAUGCGCAGAUAUCAGGAGGAACACCUAUAGCGAAGGCAGCUUGCUGGGACGGUACUGACGCUAAGGCGCGAAAGCGUGGGGAGCGAACAGGAUUAGAUACCCUGGUAGGCUCU